AUUGCCUCCCAGGAUGUCCUUGAGGCAAUGUCUCAAGGACAUCCUGGGAGGCAAUGAGAAGCGAGACUAGGUUAACAUC